CACGUAGGGCGCAAGCGUUGUCCGGAAUUAUUGGGCGUAAAGAGCUCGUAGGCGGUCUGUUGCGUCCGCUGUGAAAACUCGGGGCUUAACCCCGAGCCUGCAGUGGAUACGGGCAGACUAGAGGUAGGUAGGGGAGAAUGGAAUUCCCGGUGUAGCGGUGAAAUGCGCAGAUAUCGGGAGGAACACCGGUGGCGAAGGCGGUUCUCUGGGCCUUACCUGACGCUGAGGCACGAAAGCGUGGGGAGCAAACAGG
rnacentral:rRNA from 1 species